CCAACGCCGGCUGGGAUGCUCCGCCGACUGCCGGGCCGGGCGCGCUCGCUCCCAGAACGCCCUGCGAGCGGCGGCACCUUUGUGACGCCAUCAGCUGGCGCGCCGCCGCCUUCUGCGCAGUCGCGGCCCGGGCUGUACAGCGGCGGGCGCUCGGCGGCGGCUGGCUGCGGCCGGGGAUGCCCCAACAGGCGAGAUGGCCCCCGCCAUGCAGCCGGCCGAGAUCCAGUUCGCUCAGCGGCUGGCGUCCCACGAGAAGGGCAUCCGGGACCGGGCGGUGAAGAAGCUGCGCCAGUACAUCAGCGUGAAGACGCAAAGGGAGACAGGGGGUUUCAGCCAAGAAGAACUUCUGAAAAUAUGGAAAGGGCUCUUCUACUGCAUGUGGGUGCAGGACGAACCCCUUCUGCAGAGCACCUGUUCAUUCAGACCUUUUGGCAAACCAUGAACCGAGAGUGGAAGGGCAUUGACCAGCUGCGCCUGGACAAGUUCUACAUGCUGAUCCGUCUGGUUCUGAGGCAGUCCUUUGAAGUUCUGAAGCGAAACGGCUGGGAAGAAAGCCGAAUCAAGCUAUUUCUGGACGUCUUGAUGAAGGAGAUCCUGCGUCCCGAGAGUCAGUCUCCUAACGGAGUGAAGUUCCACUUCAUUGACAUUUAUGUGGAUGAACUAUCCAAAGUGGGAGGGAAGGAGCUCUUGGCAGAUCAAAAUCUCAAGUUUAUUGAUCCAUUCUGCAAAAUCGCCGCCAAGACUAAGGACCGCGCGCUGGCGCAGACCAUAGCCCGGGCUGUUCUCCACGUCAUCGUAGAGCAGUCUCCUCCUGUGCCUGGAGAGGCAGUGGAGGGCCAGAAACCUAAAGGCAGUGAUGGUGGCCUCUCUGAGGAAGAGAUACCUGAAAAUGAGGCGACGUGGAGAAAACCCAUCAGUAAAAAGAGAAGAGCCCCGUGCAAAUAUCACCCCAAAAAAGAGGGAGCCAGCGAUGAGGGUGCCGUGGCCGGUGGAGGAAGCGGGGAGGACGGCGGGCUGCCCCUCCAGUUUGACUACAAGGCCGUUGCUGAGCGACUCCUGGGAAUCACCACCAGGAAGCACAUCCCUCCCUUCAACAGGAAGCGCCUCUGCAGACUCAUCAGGAAAUUCCAAGAUCUGUCUGAAGCAGGCAGUAUCUCUCAACUCAGUUUUGCUGAGGACACAUCUGCUGACAAAGAUGACCAGGCCCUCAGUCAAGGAAGGUGUAAGAAAAAAGGAAAGAAACCUGUGGAGAAAGCGGGCGUGGAAGGAGAGGGAGGAGCCAGGUUCUUUCCUGCUGAGGAAGAGGAGAGUGAAGGUGGGAUUCCGAAGAGAAAGAGGAAAAAGAAGAAGAAGAACCACCUGCGGCCUGAACACUUAGGGGCCGGUGGUGAGGCCACGUGCCCAGAGCAGAAUGGGAGUGGUGAGCCAGGGGCCUGGCCGGGAAGCGCCCAGAAGAUGAGCCUGGCAGAGCUGGGGGCAGUGGCCGCACCUGGCGCCCAGGAGCGCAGUGGCUCAGAGCAGCUCUCCGUACACAGCAGGAGGAAACGACCAAGGAAGAGGAGGCUGGGGGUCCAGGUGGAGAGCGCCAGGUCGGCAGCGUCUCCUGAGGAGGGCUUGCCUCCAGGCGGUCCUGUUCAGGGACCAGCCCCCAGAGCCUCCCUGGCCAGUGGCGCCCCAGUCCUAAAGAGGAAGCGGACGCUCGGGGCUCCCCUGGUCAACGGCACUGUCCCCCCUACGCUAGCCUGGCCCCUGCCCCGGAGGGAGGGACCUCCAGCCAGCCCAGCAGAUGGAGAGGACUGCCCUGCCACCCCACCCCAGGGCGGGAAACCGAAGAAAAAGAAGGGGGUGCCUAGCAGACUUGAAUGCUGCAACCCGUCCACACAGAAAACCACCAUCCUGAAAAAGAGGAAGAAGAUGAAAGAGAUGUCGAACUUGGAGCACAGAGGAGCCAGGCUCAUCCAGGCUCUGGGGAGCAGCGGGGCACUCAGCCCUUUGAAGAAGAAGCUGAGAACAGAGAAGGACUUCGUGAAGUUCGACGCCUCCUUCUGCCCAAAGCCCCUGUUCUUCAGGAAGGCCAAGGGCAGCACUGCCACCACCUCGCCGGGCGCCCCCCUGCAGGCGAGCAGAACACCAUCCAGCUCCAAGAAGGUGACCUUUGGGUUGAGCAGGAACAUGACUGCGGAAUUCAAGAAGACAGACAAGAGUAUCCUGGUCAGCCCCACAGGCCCCUCCCGGGUGGCCUUCAACCCCGAGCAGAGGCCCCUCCACGGGGUCCUGAAGACCCCCACGAGCUCGCCAGCCAGCACCCCCCUGGGGACCAAGAAGCCACUGACUGCCACGCCAAAGAGAAGGCCGACGGCUGUGGACUUCAUCUGAUAGUAGCAGAGUCCUUUUAAAGACUGCGUUUGCACAGGAUGUUCUAUAAAUUGUAACGUUUAAAAGAUGGGGCCUUUUUAUUGUUUUGUAAAUUCCCAUGAAUUGUCCAUGUGGCUCUGAGUGUGAGCUCUGGCACUUCUGUGGCCCUGGCCCUUCCAGCAGGGGCUGCGGGCAUUGGGUGCAGCCUUUGCUGCCCACGUUGUCCGUGCCGGAGCCCCUGGGGGUCCACGGCGGUGGGUCCCUCCAGUGCCCCCACUGGUGUGGUGGCUGGGCGCUCAGACGGGGUCGCACCGUUGGCUCCCAGCGUCCGGGCUUCCCCGCUAGCCGCCGGCGUGUGCAGCGCUGCUGGGCUGGGCCCGGGCUGCCCUGCUGGGCUAGUUUUCUGGGUGGUUUUAGUCUAAUGGUCUUUCUCCUUUUAAAAGGUGCGCAGGGCCUCGUUCCCACGCCUGUGGGUAUUUGGCAUCUUACAAGAUGAGUCUGGUCACCACAUCAGCAGUGCCGCACUUUCUCUGUGUGCACUCAGUGGGGGUGACCCUGUGAGGGGGCAGGAGAGACACACCUCUGCCCUGGGGGCGCCUCCUCCCUCCACCUCGGCCCGGUCUCCUGCCCCGGCCUCCUCCCUUGGGCCAGCCCAGGGCGCCCUCAGCGGUGACAGCCGGCACCCCCUCGCUCUCAGCCUGGCCGGCACGCCCGCUUCCAGGCCCUUGUGCUCGGUUACUCUUGUAAAAAGUGUCUGAGCCCCAACCGGAGUGGCUGGCGGCCCCAGGAGCAGCUUUCCCACCCCUGACCCGGACUCUGGCUGCGGAGGCAGGGCAGUGCUGCCUGACACCUGCAUGCCCGCCGGAAGCGGGAGACAGCAGCGGCCGCCGAGAGCUGUCUGCGCUUAUUUCUUUGUUCAUAGCUACCAUUUUUUCGAACAUUGACACUUGUACUUACAGAUUUUUAUAGAGUUAUAAUUUUAGUUAAUUAAUAGAAUUGGGGGUGGGAAAGGCCCAGACGUCAGUUGGAGGAGCAGAGGCGCGGCAUGGAGCACGCGGUGCGCGAGGAGCCGCAGCCCCAGCCCCGCCCUGCCCCCCGGGCGCGCCGCCUCCCUGCCUCCGUCUUGAGUUUACUGGCUGACAGGUUGCAGCCUGGGAGGGGGCAGGGGCGGCAUCUUCGGGGGAGGACGUGGCUUCUCUUGGCUCAGGGGAUCCCGGGGAAUCUCGGGCCUCCAGGAAGUGACAGCUGCCUCCCACCCACCUCCCCACGCAGGAACCCCGCUUUCUCGCCAAAACGCCGGGCCAGUCGCCUUCGCUUCCCCAGUAAAGGACCCCAGCAUUGCCUCGGUCGUCCUAGCCACAACUGGGGGAGACGGGGAGGCCCACUGGAGUCGCAGGGCUGCGUUGAUUUGGCUUUGGUUUCCUUCGUCACGUGACCAGGGUGGAGCCCUCCCUCUGCAAAGACUGUUGUUGAUAACUUUGUGGGUCAGAUGGGCUGGCCUUCCGGGGGCCCUGGUGGGAAGGAGGAAGUGUGAACUUUGCUCUUUGCCUGCUCUAUAAUUAAGUUUUGUCGUAAUUAGGCCAUGAAAAGAGCCAACACUGCUGUUGGCCGCUGUGCCUGAGCGGCCCUGUCUUGCGCACGCCGGCCUUGCUGGGGUGGCUGCGUGGUUUUCGGCGCGCUGCGCUUGACGUAAUGCUUUAAAUCACAUCGAAACCGACACUGACGGUGUGAAAGAUCGGCAACUUUAUCUUAAAUGAUGGAUGCAUGAAUACGUGCGGAAGUCUGCCCAUGAAAAUGCUGCAAAGGGAAGAUUCAGACAGAGGCGCACAGGGGGACACCACAUGAAGACGAAGGCGGAGAUCGGGGCCAUGCUUCUCGAGUCUGAGGAACCCCAGAGAUGGCCAGCACGUCGCCAGAAACUACGGAGAGCCUGGAGCGGAGUCUCCCUCCAAGUCCAAGAAGGAACCGACCCUGCCCACGCCUCGGUCUCGACUUCCAGCCCCCAGAGUUGAGAGGGAACACCUCUCUGUUGUUUGAGCCGCUCGGUUGCAGUACUCUGUCACAGCAGCCCUCAAAGCCCCAUCUUCACAAAUGAGCGCCGAGGCACAGAAAGGUGGCGUAAGGCAGGAAGCAGCGGGGCUGGUUUUGAACCCCAGCGGUGACAGAGCCGGCAGUCCGCAUUCCCUCAACAGAUACGUGCUGAAAUGUGUCAAAGCGAACGGGACGGCUUCGGGGGUGGGGUCACAGUCAGGAGACGAGCUUCUUAGGGUCCUGUGUCUGGCGGGGAGGAUGUGAUCCCUGAACAAAAUACUUCCUCCUGUCUGACCCAAGGUCCCUCUAUAGCAAAACCUGAACACCUCCUCCCUGAAAUGAACCUGCUACGCUCCCCUGCUUUGUAAUAUAAAGGAGAAACACGUUUAUAACUAGAACAACUGCUUUCGACAUGUGAAUGGCUGGGUGAGGACUGUGCUUGGGCUGACGUGCUGAGCACCACAAUGAACAAUGACAGAAGCCAGAGAUGCAGGCGGAGACGCACUGAAUGGACCACUCAGAUCCCAUCAGGGGUUGCCAUUGGAAACCCGGUUUUAUGAAAUGAUGAGCAGAGCUAGGUGAAGAUCAGAACAAAGCUAAGCGCAAUCUUCUGUCAAUUUGUGUGGCGUAUGCACUCCUAGAGAAUUAUAUUAAUGCCACACAAAAAUAUCUGUGUUUGUUGGUCAGUUCGGGCGGCCAGAACAGAACACCGCACUUGGACAAUUUAAAUCACAGGCAUUCAUUUCUCACAGUUCUGGAGUCUGGAUGUCUGGGAUGUGGCUUCUCGGUGACGCCCUCUCCCUGGUUCAUGGGUGACCGUCUUCUCACUGUGUCCUCACCUGUGGAGGGAGAGGGGGAGCCCUCCAGCCUUCCCCUUAUGGGGCCCCUAAUCCCUUCGGAACAGGGCCCCACCCUUAUGACCUCAUUUAACCUUAAUUACUUCCUUGUUCCAAUACACUGGGGGUUCAGGACCUCAGCAGAUGGAUUUGGGGGGGCACAGUCCAGUCCACAGCAGUGUUUAGACGUCACACACACUUACGACCUAGGGUGGGCUCACAGUUAACAGGAUGCUCCCACCUGAACGUGUGCCCGGAUCUUCUGUGUGUGACUCCAUCCUGCACUUUGCUGGGUGGGAAGCCUGACUUGUUCCAAACAGAAACCACCAGAGGCCCUAAGUCUUGGGCCAUCAAACAUAGCCAGAGACUCAAAACACGCGGCGGGGGGCUGCCCAGCUGAGCUCCCCACCCGCAGGAAGGCGCCGAGAACACCUCCGCAGGGAUGGCGUGUGGAGGAGAGGACUUCAGCAGUGUUUCUGGGGCAGACCUGGGGAGAGUCGUUUUUUUAGUAUUUGUCCUGCUUGAGGAUCACUGUGUUUCCUCAGCUGGUGUCUUUUGGAAACUGCUCAGCCCCCAUCUCUUCAAAUAUUGUUUCAACCCCAUGCUCUCUCCCCACCACCUGGGACUCUGACCACACCCACACUGGGGCUUACAUUGCACAGAGGGUCAUUUAGGCACUUGCUGUGGGUUGUUUUUUGUUGUUGUUUUGUUUUACCGCUUUUAAUUAUUGAGGGGGUAACUAGGCUUAUUUAUUUUUAUUUUAUAAUAAUUAUUAUCUUCAAUGGAGGCAUACUAGGGAUGGACUCCAAGACCUCGUGCAUGCGAAGCCCGUGCUCCAGCACCGAGCGACCGCUGCCUCCUGCUGUGCUGGUUUAAAGUUCUAACUAAACUUCUCCGUGCGCUUUGCUUUGGGCGUUUCGCGUUAAUCCGUCCCUCGGUUCACGCACCCCGCCUGGGUCCGGCCUCCCGGCAAACCGGCCCCGACCUGCUCACUUCAGGGGACGCCCUUUCCUGCGCGGCUCUCUCGGUCCCGGUCCCGGCUGGCUGGCGCGUCCUCGGCGCGAGCUGGCGCGCGUGCGGUCCGGCGCCCGCAGCCGGACCUCGGAACCGCGCUCCCUGCGCCCCCAGACCCCGGGGCUGGCGCCUUGCCCUCAGGGGGCCCGCGGGGUGCGCGCACGGCUGUGCACGGCUGCGCCCCCAGCGCUGGUCACCGCGCUGGCGACACUUGGGACAAACCAAAACGGGCCCGGGAGCUCGCUGAAGGCUCCGCCGCCAACGGCGGGACAGGGCGUGCGGCUCUGGCCCCGCGCCGGCAGGACCCGCAGAGCCGUCGGGCCUGUGGUUCGAGGCCACGCCGUUCAGAAAGCAGGUCUUCCACCGAGAGCGACGGGCUCGGCGCACCUGGGCCCCGCAGACAAGCAGGGGCCGGAGAGGGGCCCAGCGGGCGCGGGGGGGCGGCACGGGGAUGGGGUGCGCGGCCGGCCCCUCCCACGGGGACCCCGGCCCGCCCCGCGGCCGCUCCUCCCCGCGCCGCUGGUUUCACUCCCGCCUCUCUGAGCGCCUGGAGUUGAAUUCACGCAGGUUAAGUGAGACUCGAGUGAAAACGUAGUGACAACCUAAACAUCCAUUAACUGGGACCAGGAUUUGCUUAAGAAAAAUAAGAACGUCCACGUGUCCGAGUCCAACAGCCACGAAAACCAGCGGCGUGAAGUGAGCGCGGGGCGGGGGGGAGGGGGGCGCGGCUCAGCGGCCGAGCGCGUGCGCCGCUGCGCGGGGCCCGGGCCGCCUCCCCGGUACGUCCAUUUGGAACAAACGAAUGAAUAGACCUGAUUACCUCCCCUCCCCCCAGAAUUAUCCUUGACAUGGGAAGACGCAUACCACCGUAUGUUAAUGAAAAUGGUAGGUUAUAAAAUAAUGUGACAGAUCUAUUUUACUCUUAAAAAGAAACAUAAAAAUUCUAGGUUUACAUCAAAAUACUACCAAUGGGUCAUAGAAUUACACGCAAUUUUUAUUUAUAAACAUGUAUUAUUUUAAUUCAUAGAUCUCAGUUUUUAGAAUAGUUCUACAUUUAUAGAAAACUUAAGGACGUAGUAAAGAAAAUGUCCAUAUACCCCUCCCACACACAUGGUGUCCCCUGUUGUUAACCCCUGGAAUUAGUGUAGUACGUUUGUUACAAUCAGUGAGACGGCGUUAUAACAUUAUGAGUAACUAAAGCCUGCAGUUUGCACAGCGUUCGCUCUUGGUGGUGUACAUCCGAUGGAUUUUGACAAAUGUGUAAUGACACGUGUCUACCAUUAACGUCUCACACAGAGCAGUUUCACUGCCCUAAAAAUGCUGUGUGCUCCGCCUGUUCACCCCUCUCUCCCCCUUACCCCCGGCAACCACCGAUUUUCUCUUACAACCUCUGUAGUUUGACCCUUUCCAAAGUGUCACACAGUCAGAAUCACCUGUAGCCUUUUCGGACUGGCUUCUCCCACUCAGCAAUACACACUGUUUCCUCCAGGUCAUUUGUGCUUUGAUAGCUCAUUUGUUUAACUUCAGAAUAACAUUCCACUCGGUUUGCUCAUCCAUUCAACUACUGAGGGGCAUCUUGGUUGCUUUCACCCUUGGCAGUUGUGAAUAAAGCUGCUAUAAAUGUCCAUGUGCAGGUUUUUGUGUGGACGUAAGUUUUCAACUAGGUAAAUAUCAAGGAAUGUAACUCUAUGGCAAAACUACGUGUAGCUUUAUUUUAAAAGCAGCCAGACUGUUCCAAAGUGGAGGUGCCAUGUUGUGUUCCCACCAGCAGUGAAUGGGAGUCCCUGUGGCUCCACGCCCUCGUCAGCAUCUGGUGUUGUCAGGGCUCUGAACUUGAGCCAUCCUGAUAAAUGAUCCCCCAUAGCUGCGUUAGUUUGCGCUUCCCCGGUGACAUAUAACGCUGGCAAAGCUUUACAUGCUUGUUACGUGCGUAUUUUCUUUGGUGAGGGGUCUGUUCAGGUCUUUUGCCCAUUUUUAAUUGGGGUGUUUGUUUUCUUAUUAUCAGGUUUUAAGAAUUCUUUGUAUAUUUUGGACAUCUUUUGUAUAUUUUUGUAUGUUUUGUAUAUUCUUUGCAUUCUCUGAUGGUGGAACACAACACAGCGACUCACAGACAGAUAGGAGGCUGAACUCUGUUACCUAGAGCUCCAAAUGAGAGAAGGCUGCCACGCAGGGCCACAUCAAGGCUGCACCUGGGGGUAUCAGCAGACUGACAUGACCAAGGAAAGACUUGAGGAGCUUGAAGACCCAUCAGUAGAAACCAGCUCAAAAGCAGAGAAAGACAUUGAACAGAAGAUCCAGGAACUAUGGGACAAUUACAAAAGGCGUAGCCCACGCGCAGCUGGAACCCCAGAAGGAGACAAAGGAGAGAAAGGAACAGAAGAAACAUUUGAGGGAACAAUGGCUGAUGAUUGUCUAAAAUCAGUGGCAGACACCAAAGCACAGACCCAGGAAGCUAAGAGAACACCAAGUGGGAUAAAUGCCGAAAAGACUGCACCCAGGCAUGUCAUAUGCAAACUGCAGGAAACCAAAGACAGAGGGAAACUUAAAAGAGGUUGAAGGAAAAAACCAGCUGGCCUGUGGAGGCACAAGGGUGAGGAUUACCUCUGACGUGUCCCCAGAAACCACGCGGGCAGGAGGAGGUGCAGUGAGAUAGUUGGCGUGUUCAAAGGACAAGAACCAGCGUGCACUCCGUACCCAGUGACACCUUCCUUCAAAAGUGGAGGAGGGAGAAAGACUCUCUGACAAACAAAACCUGGGGCAUUUGUUGCCAGCAGACCUGCCUUGUGAGAAAUGUAAAGAGAAGUUCCCUGGGUGUGUGCUCAGAAGCACUUCUGGGUCAUCUUUCUCUGGUCACCUGGGACAGCAAGCUGGAGGGCUGGCGUUUCUCUCCAUCUUUACAGCUGGGCCCUGGAAGUGCUCCUGGAGGCAACACCCUCCUGCCUCAAUGUGUCCCCUCCCCAAGGGUUUUUAACUCUCAAGUUAGUCCACACUCAGCCUCCAGCCAUUUGUCAAGCAUGAUUUUCACUGUUCCUGCAGUUACUGCUUCUGGAAGCUUCCACCCCAGCCAGCACUGGUCCCUGCCCUGAAGGAGUUAGCCUGGUGGGAAGCUGGUUUUAUUAAUCACCAGCACGUGUGGGAGCACACGCUCGGGUUAACAGAUUUCGAUAUUGUAAUGAUCGCUUUACCAAAUCGUAUUCUCUCCUUUAUGUAGGCACAUAAGACAUGUAUAACCAAAGCCCACGCUUUCUGUGCUUGUCACUGUGCUGCUGCUUCAAAGCAAAGUGUCCCACAGCACAAAGGCUGAACUCUCGAUACCAGUCCCCUCCUCAUCUGCAGAACUUCGCUCAGCUGCCUCGGAGCCGCUUUGCCAGCGGGACCUGCUACAAACUGUCUCCUCGCCGUAAAAAGCAGAGACAUGCUCUGCUCGCUUUGCUGAGCUCGAGGUCUUAGGCUCAGGGCUGCUUGCGCUCAUGGAAAGCCACAGCUCGUCCCCCGCCCUGACCGGCAGGCCACGCUUCGCUCAUCAGGCGCAGGCGGACAGCGUGGGCCUCUCCUGCUCGCAGAAGACAGUGCCCGAGCCCUCGGCUGGGGACAGCGGGGCUGCUUCGCGCGCUCAGACGACUUCUGAUCGUUGUGCGGCGACUCUGCGGUGGUCUGGGUUUUCAUUAUCAAUUGUUGGGAACACUGUAACCUCGCUCAUGAUUGUUUGAGGCUUAAAAUAACGGUUUGUACGGUCAAUAUUGUAACCUUCUCUCGAGUAUAAAUUAAGAUCACAAUGUUUCUGUUUCUCACUAACUGAAACCGCUGGCCUGCGUCCCUGCACGUGCACCAUCCCCUUUACUCAUUCCUACGGCGCAUUUCACUUUGGCUCUUUGUCUGACUCUUCUCAAUAAAUACAGGAGCUCUGGAGGGGCUGGUCUCCGGCUCCCUCUCACUCUCUUGACCUGA